UACGAAGGGGGCUAGCGUUGCUCGGAAUUACUGGGAGUAAAGGGAGCGUAGGCGGAUAGUUUAGUCAGAGGUGAAAGCCCAGGGCUCAACCUUGGAAUUGCCUUUGAUACUGGCUAUCUUGAGUACGGAAGAGGUAUGUGGAACUCCGAGUGUAGAGGUGAAAUUCGUAGAUAUUCGGAGGAACACCAGUGGCGAAAGCGACUUUCUGGGACAUUUCUGACGCUGAGGAACGAAAGCUCGGGGAGCAAACAGG
rnacentral:rRNA from 1 species